rnacentral:rRNA from 1 species
AGAGUUUGAUCAUGGCUCAGAUUGAACGCUGGCGGCAGGCUUAACACAUGCAAGUCGAACGGUAACAUGAGUGCUUGCACUUGAUGACGAGUGGCGGACGGGUGAGUAAAGGUAUGGGGAUCUGCCGAAUGGAGGGGGACAACAGUUGGAAACGACUGCUAAUACCGCAUAACGUUGAGAGACCAAAGCAUGGGACCUUCGGGCCAUGCGCCAUUUGAUGAACCCAUAUGGGAUUAGCUAGUUGGUAGGGUAAAGGGCUCACCAAGGCGACGAUCUCUAGCUGGUCUGAGAGGAUGACCAGCCACACUGGAACUGAGACACGGUCCAGACUCCUACGGGAGGCAGCAGUGGGGAAUAUUGCACAAUGGGGGAAACCCUGAUGCAGCCAUGCCGCGUGUAUGAAGAAGGCCUUCGGGUUGUAAAGUACUUUCGGUAAUGAGGAAGGUGAUGUAUCUAAUAGGUGCAUCAAUUGACGUUAAUUACAGAAGAAGCACCGGCUAACUCCGUGCCAGCAGCCGCGGUAAUACGGAGGGUGCGAGCGUUAAUCGGAAUGACUGGGCGUAAAGGGCAUGUAGGCGGAUAAUUAAGUUAGGUGUGAAAGCCCUGGGCUCAACCUAGGAAUUGCACUUAAAACUGGUUAUCUAGAGUAUUGUAGAGGAAGGUAGAAUUCCACGUGUAGCGGUGAAAUGCGUAGAGAUGUGGAGGAAUACCGGUGGCGAAGGCGGCCUUCUGGACAGAUACUGACGCUGAGAUGCGAAAGCGUGGGGAGCAAACAGGAUUAGAUACCCUGGUAGUCCACGCUGUAAACGAUGUCGAUUUGGAGUUUGUUGCCUAGAGUGAUGGGCUCCGAAGCUAACGCGAUAAAUCGACCGCCUGGGGAGUACGGCCGCAAGGUUAAAACUCAAAGGAAUUGACGG